rnacentral:rRNA from 1 species
ACGCUGGCGGCAUGCUUUACACAUGCAAGUCGGACGGCAGCACAGAGAAGCUUGCUUCUUGGGUGGCGAGUGGCGAACGGGUGAGUAACAUAUCGGAACGUACCGAGCAGUGGGGGAUAACUAAUCGAAAGAUUAGCUAAUACCGCAUAUAUUCUGAGGAAGAAAGCAGGGGACCAUUUGGCCUUGCGCUGUUUGAGCGGCCGAUAUCUGAUUGCUAGUUGGUGGGGUAAAGGCCUACCAAGGCGACGAUCAGUAGCGGGUCUGAGAGGAUGAUCCGCCACACUGGGACUGAGACACGGCCCGGACUCCUACGGGAGGCAGCAGUGGGGAAUUUUGGACAAUGGGCGCAAGCCUGAUCCAGCCAUGCCGCGUGUCUGAAGAAGGCCUUCGGGUUGUAAAGGACUUUUGUCAGGGAAGAAAAGGGCGGGGUUAAUACCCCUGUCUGAUGACGGUACCUGAAGAAUAAGCACCGGCUAACUACGUGCCAGCAGCCGCGGUAAUACGUAGGGUGCGAGCGUUAAUCGGAAUUACUGGGCGUAAAGCGGGCGCAGACGGUUACUUAAGCAGGAUGUGAAAUCCCCGGGCUCAACCUGGGAACUGCGUUCUGAACUGGGUGACUAGAGUGUGUCAGAGGGAGGUAGAAUUCCACGUGUAGCAGUGAAAUGCGUAGAGAUGUGGAGGAAUACCGAUGGCGAAGGCAGCCUCCUGGGAUAACACUGACGUUCAUGCCCGAAAGCGUGGGUAGCAAACAGGAUUAGAUACCCUGGUAGUCCACGCCCUAAACGAUGUCGAUUAGCUGUUGGGCAGCAUGACUGCUUAGUAGCGAAGCUAACGCGUGAAAUCGACCGCCUGGGGAGUACGGUCGCAAGAUUAAAACUCAAAGGAAUUGACGGGGACCCGCACAAGCGG